CCGGCGUGGUUGCCGGGGACGCGCGGGAUGGUGCCCGGCCCUGCGGGCCGCAAGCGGGUCGGGGAGGCGCUUUUCCGGAUAAUGUUCCAACCCCUUAGGUCUUCAUUAUAGGAAUUCCGGAAGGCAGAGCUCGGCAAGCGCCGGCGGGAGAGGCCCCGCGCGGGUCGCGGCGACCCUUCCCGGACAGAAGCUUGCCGAGCCCGCUUUCCGCGGCGUGGGUGACCUGGGGCCUGGGACCGCUCCCUGCGCCCCACGCCCCCCGGGACCUCUUCGUCCCCGCUUCCCACUCGGGGACCACCCUGCUCCCUCGGACCGAAGCGGGCCCUGGGACGCGUUGGCCCAGACCCCGAGGAAACGUCUUCUCGUGGCCCGCUUCGCGCUUUUCGAAGGCGGAGAGUCACUGAGCUGGAAGAUAGCAGUCAUGCGUGGGAGAGAGUUGAGUCCUCUGGUUAUAUAGGAGCUGUACCGGAACAGUACGCUAACUCAGAAAUGAUGGAAGAAAACCGCACUUCCACUGCGUCCGACUUUGCACUGUGAAGGACAUUGCUUACCUUUUGGAUAAGGAGGCAAGAUGCUGUUGAUGAAAAAGUUUGGGGUGCCCCAAGCUGGGACCUUCUGAUCCCGGGAGACUGAACGUAAGCAAGCGAGGAGGUGCAGUAGUGUGAGAGGUUGACCAGAAGACCACUUGGGCCAGUGUUCCUGGGGAAGACUUCACAGCCAGAAGGAAUUCUAGGUAGUCACAGAAGAACGUGUAGGUCAUCUAGAGCUCUAGGAUGGAACGAGCAUGGAAGCAAAAGCCAGCAACGAAAGAAGGAACUGCUAGAAAUGUAAGAUUCAUCCUGGUCAGUAGUUGGACAAAAGACUGGAGGAUCUAGUAUGUAAUACCUAGAACCCAAGAAGCCUUGAAUGAAAGCCAGGAUGAGUAGGUGACUUGCUCUGGGCAAGACCAGCUGCUGAGUUGUGAAGACACCCCAGCAGCCCUGCGGAGAGGUCCUUGUGGGGAGUAAUCAAAGUCUCCUGUUAAUAGCCAGCAAGGAAUGAAGGCUCCUGCCAACAGCCAUGUGUAUGAACCAUCCCGAGGACAGAUCUUCCAGUCCCAGUCAAAUCUUCCAGUGCCUGCAGACCCAGAACCAGAACUGCCCAGCAAAGCCACUCCCAAGUUGUCGACCCACAGAAACUGUGUGAGAUGAUCAGUGUUUAUUUCUUUAAGCUGUUAAGUUGGGGGGAUGAUCUGUUGUGCAGAAAUAGACAACGAAGACACUCCCUCACAUAAAAUUGUGCAUCACCAGAACAGGAUCAUGUGUUUGUGUUUAUGGUGGGUGUUUAGGCAUAUUGGUA